ensembl:snoRNA
UGAUGACUGUUCCUCCUAUUGCUUUGAGGUUUGGCACUAGGAUUUUAAGUCAUCAUAAAUUGAAAUUUGAUUUUCUUCACUCAGAGAAUAUUAGGAUAAUGGGAUUAUCUGUCUGUUCUCUGAAAUUUGCGGAAUCAAACAGUU